rnacentral:rRNA from 1 species
AUUGAACGCUGGCGGCAGGCCUAACACAUGCAAGUCGAACGCGUGGCGGACGGGUGUGUAAUGUCUGGGAAACUGCCUGAUGGAGGGGGAAAAAUACUGGAAACGGUAUCUAAUCCCGCAUAACAUCAGACAUGCCCAGAUGGGUUUAGCUUGUGGGUGGGGUAAUGGCUCAACAAGGCGACGAUCCCUAGCUGGUCUGAGAGGAUGACCAGCCACACUGGGACGGAGACACGGUCCAGACUCCUACGGGAGGCAGCAGUGGGGAAUAUUGCACAAUGGGCGCAAGCCUGAUACAGCCAUGCCGCGUGUAUGAAGAAGGCCUUCGGGUUGUAAAGUACUUUCAGCGGGGAGGCGUUACCCACAGAAGAAGCACCGGCUAACUCCGUGCCAGCCGCCGCGGUAAUUC